AGAGUUUGAUCCUGGCUCAGGAUGAACGCUAGCGACAGGCUUAACACAUGCAAGUCGAGGGGCAUCAUGAGGUAGCAAUACCUUGAUGGCGACCGGCGCACGGGUGAGUAACGCGUAUGCAACCUGCCUGAUACCGGGGUAUAGCCCAUGGAAACGUGGAUUAACACCCCAUAGUACUUUUAUCCUGCAUGGGAUGUGAGUUAAAUGUUCAAGGUAUCGGAUGGGCAUGCGUCCUAUUAGUUAGUUGGCGGGGUAACAGCCCACCAAGACGAUGAUAGGUAGGGGUUCUGAGAGGAAGGUCCCCCACAUUGGAACUGAGACACGGUCCAAACUCCUACGGGAGGCAGCAGUGAGGAAUAUUGGUCAAUGGACGAGAGUCUGAACCAGCCAAGUCGCGUGAGGGAAGACUGCCCUAUGGGUUGUAAACCUCUUUUAUAAGGGAAGAAUAAGUUCUACGUGUAGAAUGAUGCCUGUACCUUAUGAAUAAGCAUCGGCUAACUCCGUGCCAGCAGCCGCGGUAAUACGGAGGAUGCGAGCGUUAUCCGGAUUUAUUGGGUUUAAAGGGUGCGUAGGCGGUUUAUUAAGUUAGUGGUUAAAUAUUUGAGCUAAACUCAAUUGUGCCAUUAAUACUGGUAAACUGGAGUACAGACGAGGUAGGCGGAAUAAGUUAAGUAGCGGUGAAAUGCAUAGAUAUAACUUAGAACUCCGAUAGCGAAGGCAGCUUACCAGACUGUAACUGACGCUGAUGCACGAGAGCGUGGGUAGCGAACAGGAUUAGAUACCCUGGUAGUCCACGCCGUAAACGAUGCUCACUGGUUCUGUGCGAUAUAUUGUACGGGAUUAAGCGAAAGUAUUAAGUGAGCCACCUGGGGAGUACGUCGGCAACGAUGAAACUCAAAGGAAUUGACGGGGGCCCGCACAAGCGGAGGAACAUGUGGUUUAAUUCGAUGAUACGCGAGGAACCUUACCUGGGUUUAAAUGGGAAAUGUCGUAUUUGGAAACAGAUAUUCUCUUCGGAGCGUUUUUCAAGGUGCUGCAUGGUUGUCGUCAGCUCGUGCCGUGAGGUGUCGGGUUAAGUCCCAUAACGAGCGCAACCCUUACCGUUAGUUGCUAGCAUGUAAUGAUGAGCACUCUAACGGGACUGCCACCGUAAGGUGGGAGGAAGGCGGGGAUGACGUCAAAUCAGCACGGCCCUUACACCCAGGGCUACACACGUGUUACAAUGGC
rnacentral:rRNA from 1 species